rnacentral:lncRNA from 1 species
CUAAAAUUUCCUUAAUGUUUACGUUUUUUAAAAUUGUUUUUUAAAGAAGUAUUCUAAUAUUUUGCACUGUUACUGUUCUUUGCCAGCCUUUUCAGGAGCCAAAAUAUACAAAUACAAACAAACAAAAAAUACUCAGAGAAAAUACUUUCCUUCUUCCCCCUUCCUGCUGAUGAGUGAGACGUUUUGGGAGCUUUGGGGUCAGUGCCCUUCUAAACUUCCCCUCCCCCAGUAACGCAGCUGCGCAGUGCGUGCUCAGUGCAGUGGCUCGGACCGUGCCCAGCCCAGCCUGCUGUCAGCAGAGAGAUAAACUGGUAGGUGGCAGCAGAGAAAGGAAUUCUUCAGACUGAUGGCUGUUGACCUUAAACCUACAUAGGAGAAGAGAUAGCAUGUGACGUACCAAGUGGAGCGAGGGGCAGCACAGAUGAAAACUGGACUCAGGAAGGCUGCCUCUUUACUGAAUGUUGUCUCCAUUGAUGAAGUAACCAGUGAUGUUCUGGAUGAAGAUAGAUCUUUGUCACCUUUUAGAGGGGGGGAAGAAUGCAGAAUAAGAAG